rnacentral:piRNA from 1 species
GACAAUGUUCUAUGUCAACUACUCUUCUC